rnacentral:lncRNA from 1 species
AUGGAAACCCAGUGUUUCUCUGCAGAAAGGAGAAAGAAAUUAUUCAGUUCAGUUUAAAGGCUCAGGAGGAAGAGAACAAUUUUUAAUCCCUUUUUUCAGUGCAGGCUGGGGAAGAGGCAUGGUUCUGGAGUCCUGUGAUUGGUUCUGCCCAAGGUUAGUGCUCUGUGGGUGGAUGAGGGGAAGCGGAGAGCAGGAAUGGCAGGAGAGCGGUGAGAGACCUCCGUCCCAGUGAGGAUGACAUGUUCUAACUCAGGAAAUGAAUAGAUGCUCUUGCGAUUGAAGAAAAAUCUACGCUGGAGGCAGACAGGCUGGCAGGGAUGUUGGUAAGCGGACCAUUCGUGUCAUCAGUGGGAGUGGUAGGUUACCCGCUCAACACCUUGGCUCCCAGGCCUUGACUAGCAGACUCCCAGAAGUUGUUUUCUGCUGUGCUGUUUCCUGUUUCCUGAGAGGACGUCCAGAAAGCAUCCCUGAUAUAGUGAGAAUACUGGGAUUUCUCUCCACCUGCCAUGUCCUUUGCCAAAUUAUUAAACGUGGAUAGUGGAGGUGACCAAGGCAGGCACAGAAAAGAAGACACACAGAGAAUGAUUUUUGUUUGGUUUGUUCUAGCAGGACCGCAGAGGUGUCCGGUCUUUGCAAUAAUCUGAACUUACUUGCAUGAUUGGUAGGUGGUAGGCCUGAAGGCCCAUGGAUAAGUGGUGCUAAACCAUUGUUAGAGCUUUCAGACUUAGCUUGCCUGCUUUUUUGUACUCCCCCAGUGGGGGGUAAAUUAGUUGAAUUUGGUUUUUAUCCUUGGAAAAUUGGCACCAACCGGCACCUCCUCUAAGCUUCAAAAAAUAAAGUUCCUUUCCAGAAUUUUCCAUCUGCUUAAAAGGCAAUGAGCAGACACCCUUCUGAGAGGCUAAUCUCAAUAAGAGGAGGUCCCACGACAUCAUUCCCCUGACAGAGGCAUUGUCUCAACAGCCCCAGAGACAAAUGUAGAUGAGAGAGGAUCUGAGGUAUUUCAUGACUCCUCUCUUGCUGGACCACUUGGAGUCUUCUAGAGAUAAGGAGGAAUAUCUAUUUUACGGUCUGCUUGAUCUUCAGCUUCUUUCAGCAGCGUUUGUUUAGAGCCUAGAGGUAAUAUACAUAGUCAUUGUAGAUAAACUCAUUGUGUAUUAACACUGAAGAUAAUAUCAGAUAUUCUCUAGUACAAACUCCCCUCUCCUGGGACAAGGUAGCUGGUCAAUUGGCCUCUUGUUGAACACCUCCAGAGGCUGUAUACUCCCUAUCUUGCAGCUCUCAUUCCAUUGUGGGGAAACUCUGGGCUAAAUCCUAGCUCCUUAUAACUUCUGUCCAAUCCUAGUUCUUGCCUUUAGAGGAACAAAAUGCAACCCUGGUGUAUCUUCCACGUGGCAGCUCUACAUAUAUUAGAAACAUCCUUUGUCUCCCUAAUUUUCACUUUUUCGAGUAAAAAAUCUCGUAUUUCUUCAGUACUUGUGUGAGAAACUUUCCAACCCUCUCAUUAUACUUGCUGCCUUCAUCUGCAUGAUUUCUCAUUGGCUCAUGUCCCUUUAAAGCAGGUACUCUGGUUCUGAGGAGAUCAGAGUUCAGUGGAGCUAAUAUUUGUGUAUGAUCUGGACAUUAUCAUCUUGCCAACUACUGUUAUCACAAAGCUACGCCUUCAUGGCUUUUUUGAGCCAACGCCCCUCUAACACUGAUGCCAAGUAAGUGUUUUAGAAAAAUCUCUUGUACUUGCAAAAAACAGAGAUAACCCCCCUCCCUCAAAAUCUAACACAAGUGAAAUGGAUACCUAUGAAGCAAUAAGGCCAGGGGGCCAUCCAUCCCUGAUCUCUAGGACAAGGUACUGUAAAUGCUGUCCUCACGAGGACUGUCCUGGGAUGGUGCUGGGCCAGGGUCCAGAGAGCUUGGUUCUGGCUCUUCUAGCAUUUACCCACUGAAAUGACUCAACUGAACUCUAAAUGCUGCUUCUUCCUUCUAACCAACCCUGACUUUCUCUGCUUCUUCAGCUCUCCCAGUGCCCAACUUUGUUUUCCAUGCAGGUCAAUUGGCAGAGGUUCUUGUGGUCCUGCCUUUCUCAUGAUCCUGCAGCUGCAGUUCCCAUGGCUAACUGGCAAAGCUUACCUUGCUUCUAGUCUGGAUUCCAGGCAAAGGGAAUCGGAUUGGCACAGUUCACAUUUUCCAGCCAGGUCACAGGUUGCUGGGAAACCUAAGCCUGGACUGCCUUGGUGUAGGUUCCUCCCUGUGAUGUGGUCAAGAUACAGAGGAGGGAGUCAUGCAGGAUUAAAUGGCUGCUUAGCUGUUGCCUGGUGUAAUGCAGACAGGCACUUUCAGAUAAGCAGGAUGACAGGUAGGUGAACAAACACACAGAAUAAAAAACCUUUUAUACCCCAUAAAAUAUACCAACUUUUCUUAUUUCUGGGGUGCUGUACCUUUCUACAUCUUUCUAGAAAUAUUGUGUUUAGUUCGUAGGGAUCAAAACAAAGGGAAGAAAUGAAAAAAGACUGUUUUGCAUUUAUUUUACUUUUGGGAGGAGCUGGGAGGCAGGAAAAUGUAAAAUAAUUUGCAUAAACUAACUUACAACUUAAUUUAUACUCAUCUCUGUACUUAGUAAUGAGGAGGUUUUAUGAUCUGAAGGAGCAAAUCCUUUAGGCAAACCAGCUGUUUGCAGUAUCUGUAUUCUGGCUAGCUAACAGCAUGUUUUUUGAUGAAUAAAUGAUAACAUUCAGUCUUUCAUAUGUAUCAUGCACAUGUCAUUGCACCCAAUCAUCCCAGCAGAAGGCACACUCAUUUUACUAAGA